GACCACUUGCUUGCUGUAAAAGAACUCUAAAUGGACAAUGUAUUUCCAUAUCCCAAAAAAUGAUGUUCUUUUGGACAUAAGCCGGUCCCUCCGUUCGGGAUCCCUGACUUCCAGCAACACUGUUGGUGAAGUAUGAAAUUAUGAGGAGAAAGGAACAGAGGACAACCACACAGAGAAAGUUUAGCUUUAUCUACUAGAGCUGAAGACAUUCAGAUUUAUGAUCCAACAAUUCCACUCUGAAGUGCAGUGGUGUAUAUACUGCAACAAUGUUUACUCGUGUGCCCUGAGAACUAGAUAUGAAAAAGCCUUACAGCAAUAUGCCUAUAGUAAAAUAAAA